UGGGAAACCACAAAAGCUAUUGCCAAUAACUGUGGCCCCAAUAGUACAGAAUAAAUUUACAAAGUAGUUAUACAGGCAGUAGUACAAAGUAGUUAUACUACUUAUACAGGCGAUAGUACAGAUAAUUUACAAAGUAGUUAUACAGGCAGUAGUACAAAGUAGUUAUACAGGCGAUAGUACAGAAUAAAUUUACAAAGUAGUUAUACAGGCAGUAGUACAAAGUAGUUAUACAGGCGAUAGUAUAGAAUAAAUUUACAAAGUAGUUAUACAACAAUACUUGGACAUACAAUAGUCAUUACAGAAAGUCUAGAAACUACAUUUUAAGGAGGGUUCGUCAGACCGAUUGCGAUUCAAUGGUCAGUCCUCAUCUCACAAAAUGCUAUUUUAUCUUCAAUAAUUUCACGACAAAUUUUUCAUUGUUCAACGACACGGAUCGAUGACGAUACACGAUUAUGUCACUCAAAAGGACCAAUUUCUAUUAAUU